GACGAACGCUGGCGGCGUGCCUAAUACAUGCAAGUUGAGCGCUGAAGGUUGGUACUUGUACCAACUGGAUGAGCAGCGAACGGGUGAGUAACGCGUGGGGAAUCUGCCUUUGAGCGGGGGACAACAUUUGGAAACGAAUGCUAAUACCGCAUAAAAACUUUAAACACAAGUUUUAAGUUUGAAAGAUGCAAUUGCAUCACUCAAAGAUGAUCCCGCGUUGUAUUAGCUAGUUGGUGAGGUAAAGGCUCACCAAGGCGAUGAUACGUAACCGACCUGAGAGGGUGAUCGGCCACAUUGGGACUGGGACACGGCCCAAACUUCUACGGGGGGCAGCAGUAGGGAAUCUUCGGCAAUGGACGAAAGUCUGACCGAGCAACGCCGCGUGAGUGAAGAAGGUUUUCGGAUCGUAAAACUCUGUUGGUAGAGAAGAACGUUGGUGAGAGUGGAAAGCUCAUCAAGUGACGGUAACUACCCAGAAAGGGACGGCUAACUACGUG
rnacentral:rRNA from 1 species